AUGGAAAGCCUACUCCAUUGGGACUUUGCUCCAGGCCUUGCCCUGGCAGAUUAGGUGAGAAGAAAUUUUGGAUCAACGGUGCACUUCUCUCCCUCUCGGGACACCAAGGAGUUCUUUUUGGUGGUCACUUUCUCUUCGGCCUCCUUUCCCCUCACGAUUAAUUUGAUUGGGGUUGCGUUGCAAUGGUGCAUUGGAGGGAUUUGUUCGGGUUUCAAUGUGGUUUCAAUUACAUCCCGUCAUUCUGUUUUUCUGCGACCAACAACAAAGUGGGGCACUUUAUACAUGGGCUAA
rnacentral:rRNA from 1 species